GAUGAACGCUGGCGGCGUGCCUAAUACAUGCAAGUCGAGCGAACAGAUGAGGAGCUUGCUCCUCUGACGUUAGCGGCGGACGGGUGAGUAACACGUGGAUAACCUACCUAUAAGACUGGGAUAACUUCGGGAAACCGGAGCUAAUACCGGAUAAUAUAUUGAACCGCAUGGUUCAAUAGUGAAAGACGGUUUUGCUGUCACUUCUAGAUGGAUCCGCGCCGCAUUAGCUAGUUGGUAAGGUAACGGCUUACCAAGGCAACGAUGCGUAGCCGACCUGAGAGGGUGAUCGGCCACACUGGAGCUGAGACACGGUCCAGACUCCUACGGGAGGCAGCAGUAGGGAAUCUUCCGCAAUGGGCGAAAGCCUGACGGAGCAACGCCGCGUGAGUGAUGAAGGUCUUCGGAUCGUAAAACUCUGUUAUUAGGGAAGAACAAAUGUGUAAGUAACUAUGCACGUCUUGACGGUACCUAAUCAGAAAGCCACGGCUAACUACGUG
rnacentral:rRNA from 1 species